rnacentral:rRNA from 5 species
ACUCUAAGCGGUGGAUCACUUGGCUCAUGGGUCGAUGAAGAACGCAGCAAACUGUGCGUCAUCGUGUGAACUGCAGGACACAUGAACAUCGACAUUUUGAACGCAUAUCGCAGUCCAUGCUG